rnacentral:lncRNA from 1 species
AGUUCUGUGAUGUUAGCACAGUGGAAGACAAUGGAAUCCAGGGAAAUGAAGUGACAGGACUAUGACCACAGUCUGUUCCUGCAGUAGGAACCAGUUCCUCGGGUUUCUUCCUAGUCCUUUUUAGAUAUAGCUAAGGGAAUCUUACAGACAUGGAAACAAUCAAUUUAGAUUAUAAAGGUUUAUCAACAAAAAGUAUUCUGCUAAAGGCAAAAAUCCUGUGAUCUAGGUAGUCAGAACACUGUCCUCACAGGGGCAGGAAUGUUCUUCAGCUAAAGUAUGUUUAGAAUGGCUUCUUUUCCUUCUGGCUUUUGAACAAG